rnacentral:misc_RNA from 1 species
CGGUCGGCAGGCGAUCCGCGUCGGUCGCGCUGGGUGGUAUGGUUCCCCAGAGGCCGGUUCUUGUGCUGCCUACCCCUUCAGGGGAAGCGUGCCGCUUGAUGCAAGCCUCCAUCCGGCGCCCCCCAACGGGCGCAGGAGGACAACGGAGCACCCCCCGCGUUCCACCGAGCCUCNGUCGGUCGCUUGGCGCGCGGGGAAGUGCGAUGCUCUCGGACCCAGGGAACGCCGUGGGCGAGGACUCACGUCCCAGUCCCGAUGGAAGCUCCCAUAUAACGCAUGACGGCCGCUCCCGUCCCCCGACCGCCCCGGCGGCNCGGGGGCGAGGCGCGGCGUCGCGGA